UGCAAGUGUAGAGGGUCCCCUGUGUAAACUCAGAAAGGCCGAUUAUUUUUUUGCGACUGAAGCUUUCUUGGUCCAUGACUCUGUGGGACUCGGUGUCUGCAUGUCUACUCACCAAUGUCACGGAGGAUCAUUUGGUCACACAAAAAGCACAUUCAGCACUGUUUGUGUUGUGACUCAAAGUGAUUCACUCAUGACAGCACACAGCUGAACAACUCCCCUUCCUCUUAACACCAGCAUGAAGUUGCUGUCUUCCAGAAACAUCUGGAUUUUGUUCCUCAGCUCACCAUUACCAAGAUGGAGUUAUGCCUCUCACUCUUAUGAAGCGCUACCCUAGCCCUGUCUGUAGAUGCUCCCCCUCCAAGUCAGAGAGUCGGACGGAACGCGCUGAACGCAACAACUCAUCUUUUUCUUCUGACAGCAGCCGGCACAUUUUCCAGUUGUGAGCAGGGCCUUCAUGGAUUCUCCUUACAAUGGCAAUGCGUCCUUGCAGACGUCCACAUCCAACCUCAACGCCAGUUACUCACGACCUUCAGAAGCUGAGGAUGAUGGAAAAGUGUCCAGUGACACCAUUUGGCUGUGGAUCGCCGUGCUUGCGACCAUUGGGAACAUAGUGGUGGUGGCUGUGGUGUGUGCCUGUGCCUUCUGACACAGAAGAGGAGCAAGGCAGGAACAUGACUGUCAUCAAACGUUCAGACCUUCUUUGAGUUUCUUUCUUUUUCUUGGUUAAAAUGAAAACAAACAAACAAAAAAGGUUUCAUUGGUAAAUCAACGCAGUCAUUGAUUUGUUUCUUUCAUAGAAAUAUAACUCACCAACCUUUUAAAACAGUAAUAAAAAGUAUGAAACCCA